UGGGGAAUAUUGGACAAUGGGCGCAAGCCUGAUCCAGCCAUGCCGCGUGAGUGAUGAAGGCCCUAGGGUUGUAAAGCUCUUUCACCGGUGAAGAUAAUGACGGUAACCGGAGAAGAAGCCCCGGCUAACUUCGUGCCAGCAGCCGCGGUAAUACGAAGGGGGCUAGCGUUGUUCGGAUUUACUGGGCGUAAAGCGCACGUAGGCGGACUAUUAAGUCAGGGGUGAAAUCCCGGGGCUCAACCCCGGAACUGCCUUUGAUACUGGUAGUCUUGAGUUCGAGAGAGGUGAGUGGAAUUCCGAGUGUAGAGGUGAAAUUCGUAGAUAUUCGGAGGAACACCAGUGGCGAAGGCGGCUCUCUGGCUCGAUACUGACGCUGAGGUGCGAAAGCGUGGGGAGCAAACAGG
rnacentral:rRNA from 1 species